UGCGGCCGCCCCGCCCUCAGUCCCGCCUCGGCCCGCCCCGCGCCGCGGCCGGACCUCGGAGCCUCCGGGCGCGCGCGCUCCCGCCGGAGCGCGUCUCCGCGAGUCCCCGCCGGGCCCGGUGAAGGCUGCGGCGGGGAUCGCUGCCCUCGGCGGUGGUCUUUCGGCAGAACGGCCCCUCCCGCCCUCGUGGGAAAGGUGGCUGGCCCGGGGGUGGCAGGCGCCCAGGAGACAGCCUCUCUGGGGUGGGCACUGGCGGCGGGCAGGUUUGCCGGCCGCUGCCCUCCAGCAGCCACUGGCCGCGCCGCGUGGGCCAUCUUAGCAGAGCUGCGCGCCGCCGAGUGUGGCAACGCGAGGAGGACGUCUGGCCGGAGUCGGGUGUAUAUAUGCGAAGGAAGGGGGAGUGAAGAAAGCACUGGGGCAUAGCUGGGUUGGGACAAGGUAGUGGCAGACCUGGAGCCCUCCAGUGACAGCGGGUGAGCAGUGAGGCCCAUGAGUCCUUGCCUGGUCAUUAACAUCUUUAAGUCCCGCUUCCAGCGUGGUCUUUCAACCCCCAGCACUCAAGAGUUCCUCCCUCGAGGUCUGGUGCAAUACAUUGAAUACUCCCUAAAGGGGGAAAGUACUGUGAGGCUGGUCCUGGAAGGUACCUGCGCUGAGGGGGUGCUCAGGACAUCUUUGAUGAACCUAUGGCAAGUGCUCCGAGACUCUUGAAGGGCAAACCUGCAGGCACGGGAAGGACGGUGCCGGGUUUUUUGCUUUCUUUGGGGGGUGGAAAGUGGGUAGUGUAGUUACUGGAUUGAGACCGGCCUAGAGACCAGCUUUGAGACUCUGAUGUCGUGGUGAACUGCCGGUUCUCCACACUCUGGGCUCUGUUCUGGCCUCCAGAAAUUUGCACUUGUCCUCCGCUUCACUGGGUUUCCUGGUAGACAUCCUUCACAUUUCAAUUUGGAUACUGUCAGGAGAACAAUCCUCGGGCUUCCCCAGGCUUCAUUUCCAUUUCAUUCUCAUUGAACUCACGACCCUGAGAUCAAGACCUGAGCUGAGAUCAAGAGUUAGAUGCUUAACUGACUGAGCCCCAGUUAACCGUUCUUGCUGACAUAUUAUGUAACACAGAUAACAUAUUAGCUUAUUUGACUUUUAGUAAACCUAGGUAGAAUUGAAGUAUUCUGUUUAAUGCUGGUAACUCUGAAGACAUGCCUGUUUUAAUUAAGCCGACAAACUUAAACUAGCUUUUAUUUUUUUUAAUGUUUAUUUAUUUUGGACGCUCAACCGAGCCACCCAGGUACCCCAAAACUCACUAGUUUAAAAAGAAUGGUUGUAUCUAAAUUGUGUUUCUGGCAGAUGGAAUAAGUUAAGGUUACUUGCUCCGAUGGCUAGAGCUUUUAUUAAUAUUUCUGGAUUCAUUCACCUAAUUUCCAAAUAGCUUCUUUUUUGUUUUUCUGAUAAGAAUUAUCUCCCCGAAGUCAGUACUUCAAGAGAUGGCUCUGAGUUCCUAGAGAAAACUAGGUAGAACAUUUGCAUCUCAAAGGCACAGAGAAAAAAUGUUUCUCCAAGAGGAGCUUUUGUUUCUUAAAGCCAGAUCUUUUACAAUAUGUGCAAGCCUUUUGAGAUGAAUAGGAGAGGAUUUGGGAUUGGUAGAGAGGAUAGGUGGGCCUUGUAUUGUUUCUAGAGCUGCAUUUCUGUUCUUAGAAAGACUGAUACUGUAGUGCAUUUGUUUUUAAUUCUUCAUAGAAUAAGGUUGCAAUCUGAAUAUGUAGCCACUGACCCAGCCAUGGAAGUACGGGAGCCUCCAUUUGCUUCUUUGUAUCAGGAAGAAGAUCUGCAACAAAUCAAGCGAUUUGUAUGUUCUAGAUUUACAGCUGGGUUUCUUUACAACAUUUUAGUAAAUCCUUCCACAGUGCCUUUAGAAUGCUUUUCUUUCUUCUGGGCAAAUAUUUUUGUUUUAGCUUAGGGGAGAAGGCCUAAAAAAGUUCUUAUCAGGCUCUGAAUAUCACCUUCCAAUUUGGCUCAUUUAUGACCACAGAGCUACUUAAAACAAUCCUUUUGAGUAUCUUGUCAGGUUUCAGCUGGAGCAAACAGUAAAUAUUUCUGGCAGUAUUGAACCACCCCAUGGAGCUAAGAGGGGUUCUCAAAGAGGUGCAGAUGAUACUAGUUACCCAAAUCCAGAGCCACUGUGAAAAAUACCCAAUAGAGAGAAAGACCUGGACAGUCCCCCUGAGAGCCGCAAUUGCUGGGGUAUGGUAACAGUUGGUAGGACCCUAGCUGCAAAUGGAAUGCCAUCCGCAUUUCUGCCCAGCCUUAUCUGGCCACAAUACCUGUCGUUGGGAGAGAAAGGAUGAAUAACUGAUAUAUUUUCUGCCAAUCUGAAUUUGGAAAGGAAGGGAAAACAUGAAAUUUACUUUCUCUCAACCAGGCAACAGAGGUCUGGGAGAGUUGACUUUGGUAAGAAUUCUUACCCUUUGCUGGCUUGUGCCAGUUUUCCCAUGAUGCUGUCUGUACGCUCCAGAGUGAGUGGGGUGGCCCUGCGGGUCUUAUGCUGGUCGCCAGAAAGUGUAGAGGAGGAAAAGAAUUUUGUCUUUAUUUUUAAGUUUAUUCAUUUAUUUUUGAGUGAGAGGGCUAGCAGGGGAGGGGCAGAGAGAGAGGGGGAGAGAGAAUCCCAAGCAGGCUGCACCAUGCCAUCGCAGAGCCCCAACAUAGGGUUCGGACUCAUGAACCCUGAGAUCAUGACCUGAGUGGAAAUCAAGCGUCAGAUGCCUAACUGAGCCUCCGGGCACCCCUCUGUCUCCCCUUUACAGUGAGUGUGAAGCCCCCUUUUUCUUUAGGGCAUCUUGUAAAUUGUUAAUAUUAUCUAAGAUGGUUAAAAGUUCUUCACUGUAACUGAAGAUUAUCUUUAUUACUUGUUCCGCCUUAAGACAAAAUUUUAUCCAGCUGAGGUGUCCCACAGGACCCGGCCCAGUUUCUAAGGCGGACCCAGUCCUUUCCGGGACCAGUUUCUAGGGCGGAACCCGUCCGCCCGGCACCCGGUCUGGUUUUGAAGUCGGACCCAGUCCAACGCCAGCCACUUUCUGGAGCCGUGUGGAAAAAGAAAUGCUCAAAUAAGCCAUGAACGCCUGAAAGCUCAUGAGGUGGGAAGCUGCAGGUGCCGCUGCAGAGCCAGAACCCGGAUCCGAGGGCGUUGCCCGCCAUCCCUACAGAGCAGCGAGUUCGAGGGGCUCAGCAGAUUUUAUGUUUAGUCUCUACACCCAACGUGGGACUCGAACCCACAACCCCAAGAUCAAGUCGCAUGCUCCACCGACUGAACCAGCCAGGCGCCGAAAGUUUGCAGUGCUUCUUAAUCCCUAAUCUGUGUUGAUGCUUCUCUCAAGUCAAGUGGAGAUGACCUUUGCUUCUUGGCUCCUACCUCUGCUUUUCCAAAUGAUACACGGAUGUAGUUCCAAGGUGAAAACAAGCUUCCUACAUUGUAGUUCCAUUAUGAAGAAAGGGUUCCAGAAUAAUACCAGCAGUGUCCUCCAGCUGAAGACCACCGGGAACACACUCGUUCAGCUUGAGUGGAACAAGGUGGGUUUAUCCUGCGCUGCGGCCAGGGAGAAUGUAUACCUUGCAGAGCUGUGAGGCGUCUCCCUCGGUGAGGAGGUUAGAAAGGGCUUAGUAGAGAAUUGGGGCUUGUGUUAGGUUAUUCGGGGAGGAGGUAAGGAACUGGGGCUUGGCUUUGCAUUGGAUGCUGCCAAUAAGAAGGGAUUUUUCUGGUUGGAUAUUUGAGGACAUCUUACCUAGGAGGACACCAGAGUAAUGCUGAGGCUGUAACGGGCAAGGAAGCAGCAGCCGCUCAUUGGCUGGGAGAAGGGCUGUUUCCUCAUUUGUGGUUUGGACAACGUUUGUGUUUUGUCCGUGUUCAGGCAGGAUUAUAGAGUGGGUCACCUACUGGCCGCGGUCACUAAAGUGGGCUUGUCUAAUACUCUGUGACAUCGUUUAUGGUGAGUAGGAAAACAGCCAGAAGCAGCUGGGAAGGCCUGGCUAGCUUAUGGGUGCCAGAGGCUGCUUUUUUCUUCUUCUUCUUCUUUUUUUUUUUGUCAGUAGUUAAGAUUUGAGUGUUUUUGUUGUGCUAGGCAUUGUGCUAAGUACUUUACAUAUUCAUAUUGAAUCACCCCCAUCUUAUGAGGUGGCAUUAUGAUCAUCCUUAUUUAACAGAUGUACAAACCGGCACCGGCAUUGCUAACCAAUUUUUCCAAGGUUGGGCUGUGAGUUCAGACUGAUGUCAGAGCCCAUGAUGUCUUAACCACUCAGGUCUACAAAACCAUAAGGCUGUGCCUAGGCAUUAAGACUCAAGUCAAGGUCACUUUGUAAGUAGCAAGGAUAUACAAGGUGCCUUGCCUGAACUAGAAGCCAAGCACAAAUCUGAAACAAAUUAUAGCAGCACAUCUAUAUUGUGAAUCCAUUUAAAAUCAUGUUGUAAAAUGAUACUUAUUGACAUGGAAAAACUGCUAAUGAUACAGUAGCAACAAAAGGCAUUACAAAACACAAUUUGGAUUUCUGCUCACCUGAGGAACUUUUUAUUUUUUAAUGUUUAUUUAUUUUUGAGAGAGAGAGCUCAUGUGUUUGCGUGGGGAGGGGCAGAGAGAGAGAGAGAGAGAGAGAGAGAGGGAGAGAGAGAAUCCCAAGCAGGCUCCGCGCUGUUAACGCAGGGCCUGAUGAUGAGUUCAAAACCAUGAACUGUGAGAUCAUGACCUAAGCUGAAAUCGAGAGCCAAACGCUUAACCACCUGAGCCAUCCAGGCACCUGAGGAAUUUGAACUCAUUGCACAGGCUAAGCCUAGCAUUUUGAGGGGUAAACCGAGGCAGAUGCUCAUCAGACUUUCCUGUUGUGUGAUCAAGAAUAUUAAUGGCCAACACCCACCAUGGAAUUGGGUUCUCAGGAAUCCAGAACUGUGGGACAUGGCUAUUUAACAUUCCUUCUGGACAUUUUACAUUUAUAUACAUCCAUUGGCAAGUUUGAGUAAAGUCACUGUUGGCAUUAGGUUUGUCCCUAGUGAUAAAUCCAAAAAAUAACUUUUGUUUCUCAACCAAAAUUAAUAUUAAAUGCUCAAAGCUGAGGCUUACUCCUUGUAACAGAACCAAAUAAUAACAGUAACUAUUUAUGAAGUGGCUACAUGCCAGGUUUUUCAUUCAUCAUUUUAUUUAUUGCCACAAACAAGCCUCUGAUGUAACUACUAUUAUCUCCACUUAAAAACAAAACUAAGGCACGGGGACAGUGAAGGACUUGUCCAAGGAGACACGUCAAUGAUUGCGUCAUUCUGAUUGCAGUUCCCAUGUCCUGCUACUUUCUCAGUUUACUUGUUAACAUUCCAGCAAGUUUUACAAGCUUCAAAAAAGGCAUGCACAAAUCUAAAGGGGUUUCAAAUGUCCGUCUUUACACUACCAUGUCAUCUAUGCUCUCUGCACCUGUGAUAUAUCAAAUGCACACUUGCACAGGAUAUCGUUUGCAUGAGAAAAGGACACGGAGCUUACAGUCAGAGAAUCGUUUCAGUCUUCAUGAUAUUGAGAGUCAGAUCAGCUACAAUGGCCAGAUUCAGAGUCUCCUUAGAGGGGCGCCUAGGAGGCUCAGUUGGUUGAGUGUCCAAGUCUUGAUUUCGACUCAGGUCAUGGGAUCAAGCCCUGCAUUGGGCUCAUGCUGGGCGUGGAGUCUGCUCAAGAUUCUCUCUCCCUCUUUCUAUGCCCUUCUCCCCCACUGGCACGCGCGC